GUGACCUCAAAUCAGGUAGGACUACCCGCUGAAUUUAAGCAUAUCAAUAAGCGGAGGAAAAGAAACUAACAAGGAUUCCCCUAGUAACUGCGAGUGAAGCGGGAAAAGCUCAAAUUUAAAAUCUGGCGGUCUUUUGGCUGUCCGAGUUGUAAUCUAGAGAAGUGUUAUCCGCGCUGGACCGUGUACAAGUCUCCUGGAAUGGAGCAUCAUAGAGGGUGAGAAUCCCGUCUUUGACAUGGACUGCCAGGGCUUUGUGAUGCGCUCUCAAAGAGUCGAGUUGUUUGGGAAUGCAGC
rnacentral:rRNA from 1 species